GACAGAGGGUGCAAACGUUGUUCGGAAUUACUGGGCGUAAAGCGCGUGUAGGCGGCUAAGUAAGUCGGGCGUGAAAUCCCACGGCUCAACCGUGGAAGUGCACUCGAAACUGCAUAGCUAGAGUCCUGGAGAGGAAGGUGGAAUGCUUGGUGUAGAGGUGAAAUUCGUAGAUAUCAGGAGGAACACCGGUGGCGAAGGCGGGUCUCUGGGCCGUAACUGACGCUGAGGAGCGAAAGCGUGGGGAGCGAACAGG
rnacentral:rRNA from 1 species